rnacentral:lncRNA from 1 species
GUGGUGAAGGUAAAGGCAAUGAAGGAGGUGGUGGUGGUCAAGGAGAGGGAGGCAGUGAGUCAGCGACAGACAAGACCAAUGAAAAAGACUCAAAGACAAAAAGCAGGACAAAGAGGAAUUCACAAUGUUCAGCGCCUCCAGAGAACUGUUCCGGUCACUUGAAGAAGUGGUAUUUUAGUAAUGAUACGUGCACGCAACACAGUGUUAAAGCACGUUGCGGAAGCGGGGGCUUUUUUAUAUGUACACUAUGUGUGUCAUCAUGUAUCGGGGCUGAAAAGAAAGAGCAAGCAAAGGAUAUAUGCAGCAAGAAAAAGUGAAUGUGGCCCACGGAAUUCCUUUCCAUUUUUCAAUAAAGUUUACUGAACGUGGUUAAUUGCGAAUGCUUACAAGAUAAUACAGCUCAAUAAAUAAUGAAUGGGAAAC